UGCAGUCGAACGAUGACUUCUGUGCUUGCACAGAAUGAUUAGUGGCGAACGGGUGAGUAACACGUGAGUAACCUGCCCUUGACUUCGGGAUAAGCCUGGGAAACCGGGUCUAAUACCGGAUACGACCUCCUGGCGCAUGCCAUGGGGGUGGAAAGCUUUAUGCGGUUUUGGAUGGACUCGCGGCCUAUCAGCUUGUUGGUUGGGGUAAUGGCCCACCAAGGCGACGACGGGUAGCCGGCCUGAGAGGGUGACCGGCCACACUGGGACUGAGACACGGCCCAGACUCCUACGGGAGGCAGCAGUGGGGAAUAUUGCACAAUGGGCGGAAGCCUGAUGCAGCGACGCCGCGUGAGGGAUGACGGCCUUCGGGUUGUAAACCUCUUUCAGCAGGGAAGAAGCGAAAGUGACGGUACCUGCAGAAGAAGCGCCGGCUAACUACGUGCCAGCAGCCGCGGUAAUACGUAGGGCGCAAGCGUUAUCCGGAAUUAUUGGGCGUAAAGAGCUCGUAGGCGGUUUGUCGCGUCUGCUGUGAAAGCCCGGGGCUCAACCCCGGGUCUGCAGUGGGUACGGGCAGACUAGAGUGAUGUAGGGGAGACUGGAAUUCCUGGUGUAGCGGUGAAAUGCGCAGAUAUCAGGAGGAACACCGAUGGCGAAGGCAGGUCUCUGGGCAUUAACUGACGCUGAGGAGCGAAAGCAUGGGGAGCGAACAGGAUUAGAUACCCUGGUAGUCCAUGCCGUAAACGUUGGGCACUAGGUGU
rnacentral:rRNA from 1 species